rnacentral:rRNA from 1 species
UUGGCGGACGGGUGAGUAACGCGUGAGUAACCUGCCUUCAAGAGGGGGAUAACAUUCUGAAAAGAAUGCUAAUACCGCAUAAUGUCGCAAGACCAAAGAGGGGGACCUUCGGGCCUCUUGCCAUCGGAUGUGCCCAGAUGGGAUUAGCUUGUUGGUGGGGUAACGGCUCACCAAGGCGACGAUCCCUAGCUGGUCUGAGAGGACGACCAGCCACACUGGAACUGAGACACGGUCCAGACUCCUACGGGAGGCAGCAUG